rnacentral:rRNA from 1 species
GACGAACGCUGGCGGCGUGCUUAACACAUGCAAGUCGAACGGCAAGGCCCUGCUUUUGUGGGGUGCUCGAGUGGCGAACGGGUGAGUAACACGUGAGUAACCUGCCCUUGACUUUGGGAUAACUUCAGGAAACUGGGGCUAAUACCGGAUCGGAGCUCCUGCUGCAUGGUGGGGGUUGGAACGUUUCGGCGGUUGGGGAUGGACUAGCGGCUUAUCAGCUUGCUGGUGGGGUAGUGGCUUACCCAGGCUUUGACGGGUAGCCGGCCCGAGAGGGUGACCGGGCACAUGGAUACUGAGAUACGGCCCAGACUCCAACAGUGGGCAGCAGGGGGGAAUAUUACACAAUGGGCGGAAGCCGGAUACAGCGACGCCGCGGGCGUGAUGACGGCCUGCGGGUUGUAAACCGCUGUCGCCUGUGACGAAGCUUGAGUGACGGUAAUGAGUAAAUAAGCACCGGCUAACUUCGUG